UCCUACGGGAGGCAGCAGUGGGGAAUAUUGGACAAUGGACCACAAGUCUGAUCCAGCAAUUCUGUGUGCACGAUGACGUUUUUCGGAAUGUAAAGUGCUUUCAGUCGGGAAGAAGUCAGUGACGGUACCGACAGAAGAAGCGACGGCUAAAUACGUGCCAGCAGCCGCGGUAAUACGUAUGUCGCAAGCGUUAUCCGGAUUUAUUGGGCGUAAAGCGCGUCUAGGCGGCAAGGAAAGUCUGAUGUGAAAAUGCGGAGCUCAACUCCGUAUGGCGUUGGAAACUGCCUUACUAGAGUACUGGAGAGGUAGGCGGAACUACAAGUGUAGAGGUGAAAUUCGUAGAUAUUUGUAGGAAUGCCGAUGGGGAAGCCAGCCUACUGGACAGAUACUGACGCUAAAGCGCGAAAGCGUGGGUAGCAAACAGGAUUAGAUACCCUGUAGUCC
rnacentral:rRNA from 1 species